rnacentral:rRNA from 1 species
UACGUAGGGUGCGAGCGUUAAUCGGAAUUACUGGGCGUAAAGCGCACGUAGGCGGCUUUGCAAGACAGAUGUGAAAUCCCCGGGCUCAACCUGGGAACUGCAUUUGUGACUGCAAAGCUGGAGUGCGGCAGAGGGGGAUGGAAUUCCGCGUGUAGCAGUGAAAUGCGUAGAUAUGCGGAGGAACACCAAUGGCGAAGGCAAUCCCCUGGGCCUGUACUGACGCUCAUGCACGAAAGCGUGGGGAGCAAACAGG